rnacentral:sRNA from 1 species
GGCGAGAGAACUGCUAUCUACUGCUUAACGCAGAAUGAGUGGAGACUAGACGAGGCCACGGACAGCUUCUUCCAAAACCCAGACUCGUUCCACAGGGAGUCCAUGCGGAACGCUGUGGACAAGAAGAAGCUGGAGCGGUUGUACGGCAGGUACAAAGAUCCACAAGAUGAAAACAAAAUUGGAAUCGAUGGGAUUCAACAGUUUUGUGAUGAUCUGAGCCUGGAUCCUGCCAGUAUCAGUGUAUUGGUCAUAGCAUGGAAGUUCAGGGCCGCAACUCAGUGUGAAUUUAGCAGAAAGGAAUUUCUAGAUGGCAUGACAGAACUUGGGUAAGUCAAUUAUUCUUAGCUUAAAUGUUUUCAGAAAUGAAAAUACUUCUAACAUUAUUUUUCAGCAACCUGUACCUACUAAUUUCAUAUCUGCUUAUUUUCUUUGUGU